rnacentral:rRNA from 1 species
AGGAAUCUUCCGCAAUGGGCGCAAGCCUGAGGGAGAGACGCCGCUUGGAGGAGGAAGCCUUUCGGGGUGUAAACUCCUGAGCCCGGGACGAAAUCCGUGAUGAGGGGGCUGACGGUACCGGGGUAAUAGCGCCGGCCAACUCCGUGCCAGCAGCCGCGGUAAUAGCGGAGGGCGCGAGCGUUACCCGGAUUUACUGGGCGUAAAGGGCGUGUAGGCGGCUUGGGGCGUCCCAUGUGAAAGGCCACGGCUCAACCGUGGAGGAGCGUGGGAUACGCUCAGGCUAGACGGUGGGAGAGGGUGGUGGAAUUCCCGGAGUAGCGGUGAAAUGCGCAGAUACCGGGAGGAACGCCGAUGGCGAAGGCAGCCACCUGGCUCACUUGUGACGCUGAGGCGCGAAAGCGUGGGGAGCAAACCGGAUUAGAUACCCGGGUAGUCCACGCCCUAAACGAUGCGCGCUAGGUCUCUGGGUUAUCUGGGGGCCGAAGCCAACGCGUAAGCGCCCGCCGGAGCGCAGUAAGG